rnacentral:rRNA from 1 species
GAAGAGUUUGAUCAUGGCUCAGAUUGAACGCUGGCGGCAGGCUUAAGACAUGCAAGUCGAGCGGAAACGAUGGAAGCUUGCUUCCAGGCGUCGAGCGGCGGACGGGUGAGUAACGCGUAGGAAUCUAUCCAGUAGUGGGGGACAACUCGGGGAAACUCGAGCUAAUACCGCAUACGCCCUGAGGGGGAAAGGUGGCCUCUAUUUAUAAGCUAUCGCUAUUGGCAGAGCCUGCGUUGGAUUAGCUAGUUGGUGGGGUAAAGGCCUACCAAGGCGACGAUCCAUAGCUGGUCUGAGAGGAUGAUCAGCCACACUGGGACUGAGACACGGCCCAGACUCCUACGGGAGGCAGCAGUGGGGAAUAUUGGACAAUGGGGGAAACCCUGAUCCAGCCAUGCCGCGUGAGUGAUGAAGGCCUUAGGGUCGUAAAGCUCUUUCGCCUGUGAAGAUAAUGACGGUAGCAGGUAAAGAAACCCCGGCUAACUCCGUGCCAGCAGCCGCGGUAAUACGGAGGGGGUUAGCGUUGUUCGGAUUUACUGGGCGUAAAGCGCACGUAGGCGGACUGGAAAGUUGGGGGUGAAAUCCCAGGGCUCAACCCUGGAACUGCCUCCAAAACUAUCAGUCUAGAGUUCGAGAGAGGUGAGUGGAAUUCCGAGUGUAGAGGUGAAAUUCGUAGAUAUUCGGAGGAACACCAGUGGCGAAGGCGGCUCACUGGCUCGAUACUGACGCUGAGGUGCGAAAGCGUGGGGAGCGAACAGGAUUAGAUACCCUGGUAGUCCA